AGUAGAAGAUCUCCUUCAAGGGAAAGUUGCUGUGUUUGUCCAAGACCUGUUUUUAAUAUGGUUUUUGCCAAACUUGGUUUUUCCGAGACCGUCUUUUCUCAGAGGCUCAGUUUUACCGUCCUAUCUGCAGUCGGCUACUUUCGGUGGCAGAAGAGGCCACAUCUGCUUCCUGUAGGCCCUCUGGGCAGAAGCAUGCGGUGGUGUCUCCUCCUGAUCUGGGCCCAGGGGCUGAGGCAGGCUCCCCUCGCCUCAGGUAAGGCCUGAAACCCAGCAGAGCAGCAGGGAGGAAAAACAAGGCUAAGCUUGGUUGGAGACUUGGGUGCUUGUGUAGGGAAGACUCCAAGAGCAUGCCACAGCUGCUUGAGAGAAAGAAAUUGCAACUUUUAGAGUCCUGUGUACUCUUAUUUAAGAAAGGACGAUCUCUGAGAAUGAGGUGGGG
rnacentral:lncRNA from 1 species